rnacentral:lncRNA from 10 species
AAGAAAAGCUGUAUCGAUUGUUGAGAUCUGGCGACUUGUUUAAAUUUCAUCAGCCUCACUUCUAUGAACUCUCAGAGCUGAUUACCAACUCCUACCACUGUUAACCCUCAUCCAGGAACAAGCUUAUGUCUUUAACAUUCUGAGUGGGCUUCAGCAUCCUUGCAUAUGUUCAAUUCUUAAAAACCUGUUGAAAUAAAAGAUCAGGAGACAUAGGAAGGAUGCCAGAAGAGAGCGUGGCCUCACGUGUACCAGCUCUCUGCUCUCCUUUGCCUUGGGACGUUCCAUCCCUGGAAGUUUCCCUGCCCACAUCUUUGUAGAGAGUCCAUUCUCCAAGCUUCAGUGUGUCAUCUGUGAGGACCGUGACCCACCUGGUACAUCGCCUCAGGGCAUUCAUUUCAGGCUCCUUCUAAAUGGCCAAGAUCUUGCUUUCUUUUGUAUGUUUGCAAAGAAUAUAUAGUACACUUCCUUGAUCUGUGGUUCCUAAAGUGUGAUUCCCAACAAGCAGCAUCAGGAUCAUCUGGAAACUUGAUAGAAAUGUAAAUUCUACAGUCCCUCCUUGGAGCUACAGAUUCAGAAAUUCUGAAGUUUAAGUCCAGCAGUUGGUUAUAAUAAGCUCUCUAGGUGAUUCUGACUUGCACCAAGGCACCCUUGGAAAUGCAAUGCUACAUCUCAAUGGGAUUUUCCAGUACAAAGAUUCUUUUCAAAUAACAUAAUUGUGGAUACACACCACUCCUACAGUGGUAAACCUCAGGUUCUCCUCCUGCCUUUUGCUAAGUAUAUGUCUUGAUGACAAGCCUUCUGCUGAUGAGCUGUGUUUCUGGACCGAUCAUGGUAGAAGUCAAUUAACGUGUCCCUCACUUGGGGUUUCUCAAGG